UGUCAUCGUUUUUAUAUUUUAUGUGCCCAUCUUUAUUGCAUACAUAUUCUAUAAUUUACUAGGCGCUGAUACAACGCCAAUAGCUGCGACCGCACACUGCCUAGCACUGCCUGACCAAAAUAUCAUAUCUGCUACGAGUGCCUAAAGCAACAAUACGCAGCUAUGAAAAUGCGUUAUAGACAGCACUACUAUUUGCCUUUUGUUAGUUUGCUAUGUUACACAGGUUUAG